GAUGAACGCUGGCGGCGUGCCUAAUACAUGCAAGUCGAACGAGGAACUUUAAUCUUCGGAUGGAAGUUUCCUAGUGGCGAACGGGUGAGUAACGCGUUGGUGACCUCGACCCCAAAGGUGGGGGAUAACAGUUCGAAAGGACUGCUAAUACCGCAUAAGAUCAAUGGGAUUAGAUGCCUGUUGAUUAAAGGCGAAAGUCGCUUUGGGAGGGGCCUGCGUCCCAUCAGCUUGUUGGCAGGGUAAUGGCCUACCAAGGCUAAGACGGGUAGGGGACCUGAGAGGGUGGCCCCCCACACUGGCACUGAAACACGGGCCAGACACCUACGGGUGGCAGCAGUAGGGAAUAUUGGACAAUGGGCGAAAGCCUGAUCCAGCAACGCCGCGUGCGCGAUGAAGGCCUUCGGGUUGUAAAGCGCUUUUAGGGGAGAUGAGAAAGGACAGUAUCCUCUGAAUAAGCCUCGGCGAACUACGUGCCAGCAGCCGCGUAAAGCUACGUAGA
rnacentral:rRNA from 1 species